CGGGGCGUGGCGCAGCUUGGUAGCGCACUUGCAUGGGGUGCAAGGGGUCGCAGGUUCAAAUCCUGCCGUCCCGA
rnacentral:tRNA from 1 species